GACGAACGCUGGCGGCGUGCUUAACACAUGCAAGUCGAACGGAAAGGCCCUGCUUUUGUGGGGUGCUCGAGUGGCGAACGGGUGAGUAACACGUGAGUAACCUGCCCUUGACUUUGGGAUAACUUCAGGAAACUGGGGCUAAUACCGGAUAGGAGCUCCUGCGGCAUGGUGGGGGUUGGAAAGUUUCGGCGGUUGGGGAUGGACUCGCGGCUUAUCAGCUUGUUGGUGGGGUAGUGGCUUACCAAGGCUUUGACGGGUAGCCGGCCUGAGAGGGUGACCGGCCAAAUUGGGACUGGGAUACGGCCCAGACUCCUACGGGAGGCAGCAGUGGGGAAUAUUGCACAAUGGGCGGAAGCCUGAUGCAGCAACGCCGCGUGCGGGAUGACGGCCUUCGGGUUGUAAACCGCUUUCGCCUGUGACGAAGCGUGAGUGACGGUAAUGGGUAAAGAAGCACCGGCUAACUACGUG
rnacentral:rRNA from 1 species